rnacentral:rRNA from 1 species
UACGGAGGGUGCAAGCGUUGUCCGGAAUCACUGGGCGUAAAGGGCGCGUAGGCGGCUCAUGAAGGCUGUGGUGAAAGUCCGGGGCUCAACCUCGGAUCGGCCGUGGCGACUCGUGGGCUGGAGCACUGUAGAGGCGGGUGGAAUUCCGGGUGUAGCGGUGGAAUGCGUAGAGAUCCGGAAGAACACCGGUGGCGAAGGCGGUGAGCUGGGCAGUAGCUGACACUGAGGCGCGACAGCGUGGGGAGCGAACAGG